UCCCAGGACCCACCCAGCCAGGCUUUGUCUUUAAACCUUCCGUGAGGUCCUCUGUAGCCCUCCGUGGGAAGCAAAGGCCCAAGCUGAGAUGUCUGGCCCCAUUCUCAGAGGCAUUUUUCUUGGUGUCCACCAUCCUGGAAAGAGGCAAGAUUCCAGAACUUUCAAGUCCAGAACUUGAUGUUUUCUGAAAAGAAUUCUGUACUUAACGUCAGGCGCACUGAGCCCCUAAUUUGGGAGGUGACUCUGGAGGGACAGACGCUGUCCUGCCUCUUGUCCCAUCUUUAUGGGAACACCCGCCUGCCAUAGGUGGUGUGGGCCUGGCAGCCUGGGGUACUCUGCUGCCUGCUUCAGCAUGAAAAUGCAGGCUUUGUUUGUGAUCACAGAGCUUCCCUAGAGCUUCUGGGUGAGAGAGAUUCCAGGGCAUGCUCAUCGCAGCUACUCAGGGGCUCAUCCCAAAAUGCCCGGCCUGGUUCUGAUCCUGGACAUUCCAGAGUCUGGAGCAGGGCCUGGGGAUCUGCAUUUUCAAAACUUCUUCUGUUGCUUCCUGGGACCUGGCUGGGUUCAGAAUUGCUGAACAUUGUUACUGCCUACCACGUCCCAGGCUUUCUUCACAUUAAGGGCAGACUCAGAAAAUGAAAUGUGUUCCCUGACUGAGGUCACAGAGGAGCCUAGCCCAGGGGUCCAGGCCUCCCAGGCCUCCGCCCUGAGGGGAUUGGUGUCUGGGCCUGUCUCAAACACUUCCCUGGCACAUCCACACACCUGCCCACGUGCCCUGUGGGGAACAGGGGCCCUGCUCAGCCAGUCUGGCUGGUGGGGAUAGAGGUUGCUCCGUGCUUGGGUCAACUCAGCCACCAGGGCCGUGUGUGGGACAUGGAAAGCAGGAGGAGUGGUCUCCAGAUCCUAGGUCCCCUUUCCAGCUUACCUGUUUGGAUGCAUCAGCUUCUGGGCACGUUGGUGAAAGCACUGCAGGAACUGCAGGUGCUGUGGGCUCAUUUACAUAUGCAGUUCCACGCAAAGUCCUUGCCUGUUCCAGGCCCCCAGAGACACACAGCACUUUAUAAUGAAAAUGAUUUUGUUCUUACCCUGGUCUCGGAAGCCACCAGAGAAAUUGCACAUUCAGUUGACUGUCUCAUAAAUCAAGGUUCAUCCGAGCUGUAAUAUGUGUCAGUACUUUAUUCCUGUUUAUGGCUGAAUAUGCCAUUGUAUGGAUAAUGAAGGCCACAUUUUAUCCAUUCACAGUUGAUGGGCAUUUGAGUGGUUUCUACUUUUGGCUACAAGUGGUUCUUGAAAAGACAAAAUAAAGCAUCACAGAGAAGAAAGCUCAGUAUUUUUUUUGUCAAAAUUAAAGCAAUAUUCUUUUAAGUUCUCUGUGGUUAGCAGCCCACAGUCUCUGAAUACUAGAGGGAUCUUGGGAAUUUUUAGACUGACUUUCUUAUAUUCCAAAAUGGGAAAGUGAGAACCGGAGAGGACCAGCAGCUUGCCCAGGGGACAGUCUUGAUCAGACAGAACCAGGCAUCCAGGCCACCUGCCCUGGAAAUCCACUCCAUGCCACCCCUCCAGCCAGGCCAAUAUACUGCAUGCUGGGAGUGGGGAGAUAAAGCCCUGCCCAGGACCACAUGUCAGGGUCCUGAACAAAAAUGCCAGCAAUAAGAAGCCCACCCAACAGAUCCGCACGUGCCAGCAGCAGAAGCCCACACAAGCCUCCUUAUGCUGAAAGGGGAACUUUGAAAAGUUUACAGGGUGUGCUGAUGGCGUAGCAAAACCUAGCAUCCCCCAGCCCUGCUGGACAGUGGCAGGAAGGUGGUUGGUCCAGCCUCACCACAAUUCUGCUUUUCAAAUCAGAGACCUAAUAUGAAUCCAGAACUUUAGCUUCUGGGAAAUGUCACGUUUAGCUUUCCAGCCACUAGAAAGAGGCUGGAAUAUGGGGGCUGCCGAGGAUGUCAGGAUCCGCACAUCCCCUUCCACGGGCAUUGUGGUGAAGCUGAAGAAAAGCAAGGAAGCCAUCUUAAUGAUGACUUCGCUUGGACCAGACCCAAGAGCCACCAAGGAAGCUGUGCAGCUUUUAGAACCUCCUAGGGGAGAUGGAGGAAGGCAGGGCCCCAGCCAGCAGCUACAUAGCAGAGUGCCCUCCAGCAAGAACCUGCUCUGGCCCCGGCACUGUGCCUGGCAUCUUCUAUUCAGUACUAGAGUAUCCAUGGAAGCCCUGAUGUGUAGCUGGCGGGGUCCCCAUUUCCCAGAUGAAAAAACCGGGGCUCAGGAAGCCUCCCACAGGUGAAUAGGUGCCAUGAUCAGAUCUAGCACCCCACAUCUGCCAGACACCAAGGAGCUGUCCUCUGACUGCUUCCUCUGUUGACUUUGGCCAGGAGGGCCCAGUCCUGAGCCGAAAGUCUAUGCUGGAAUGCGCCUGGCAGCCGGAAGGAAAGGAAGGGAGGAGGCUGGCUGCUGGGACUGUGUGGUGUGCAAAUGUGCAAAUAGAGGGAAGCUGGCCAGCCUCACCUUGCCAUUGGUGGUAUUGCUGAAGGCUUAGCAGAGAGGGCCUGCCAGCAGGACGGAGCACCAACAACGUGUUCCCUGAUUCUAUUGGUGUCCCUCUGAUGUAGCCUCGAUUUAGUGUUCUCUAGGGCCUCCAAAUUCAAGAUGAGGCCUUCAGAGGCAGGGCAGUGUGCCUGGUGCUUUUUGUGUUUCUUUCAUCUGCCCAGGGAUCCUUGAAGUGGGUGGGCAGGGACAGUUAUCACUGUCUCACAGGUGAGGACCUGGAGGCCCAGAGAGAUUAAGGGUCCUCCUAGUGCCACACCAUCAAGAGUGAUGGGGAAGGACAACUUUGCCAGAAGCCUUGAGAUCCCUGCAGUGAGUUGCAAAGCGGGCUGUAACUUCAGGUCAUCUUUAGAAUGAGGGAGCUGGUGUACCAACCCUGACAUCCUUCCAGCUCUGGGACCCAUUUACAUCCAGUUCCAAACCAGGCACAGAGCCUCAGGGUAGGGGCUAUGGGAGUGUCUGCAGGUCUGGGCCAAGGGUCCCUGGGAUAGGGUCUGUCUGAUUGGCACCAGGCAAGGGAAAUCCGGGCCCAGCUUCUCCCUUGACUGACACAGCCUGGUCUGCAGCUCCAGUCUGUCCCUCCCCAUGAGGGCAGCUGCUUUGGUGAGGAAGCAUGGACAGGGUCCCAGUGUCACUUGACUGUGCCUCUGUAAGAGGGAGACUGAGCCAAGGCUGCCUUUCCACAAUCCCUGAGAGCUCUCCAGGCCUUUAUAUGGUGCUGCCAGGGAGGCGUCUCUCCCUGGCCCUGUGGUCUCUCUGCACCACCCCAGCCCAGACAACCUCCACCUGGUGUGUGGUGCUCAGCCGGGCCUGCCCCUGCGCCUGCUAAUACCUGAUGUUCUUUCUCACAUCAUUUCUUUCAUUCUUCCCCUCCUCGCCAAACCUCAGGGUGUUCAACAGCAGGUCUUGACCUCUUCUGCUUUCUACUGGGCUUCUCUUUGCCCCUCUAAUGCCCCAAGGGUCAUCAAACCCACCCUGCAGGAGAUAGGACACUGUUGCUAAGAGGCCUUAGCAUUGGUCACCCAUGGAAUUGAGUCCUGAGCCUGCCAGUUCUAGCUGUGUAACCUCGGACAAGGUACCCGACCUCUCUGAGCUUGUUCCAACUGUAAAACAGCCCAGCCCAAUGCUGACAAUAGUAGGUGCUCAGCAAGUGGAAGGUAGCGGGGUUCAUAUCAGCAGUAGCGAGAAUCAGAGUGUUGACUCUGCACCAGGCGCUGUUCUAAAUAUGUCAUGUUUGUUGGCUCAUUGUUAGUCUCACAGUAGCACAGUGGGGUGGAGAUUCUUGUUAUCUCCAUUUUAUAGAUGAGAAAACAAAUACAGAGAGGUUAAAUGCUUUCCUAGGCGCCCUAAUGCUGACAUAUGUCAGAGCUGGGAUUUGAACCUGGGCGCCUAGCUCACUGUUUACCACAAAGCUUCAGUACUCUUUAGAAGGCAAUCAAUUUAAUAAGUCUAAAUAAUGGCACAAAAAAUAAUAAAAAUACCAAAAAUUACUGAUUCUAAAGCUUAUUCACCCCAAGGAAGAAGAGACUGGAAAAACUUUAAUGGUUCCCAUAAAUAUAAGAGGAUUUUUCUAUUUAGAUCAAAUCUAUGAGCUAAAAGUAUGGGGCUCUAAUCUGACAUUUAACACUUGCCCACUGGUAAGUAACAGGGGGAUUUCCACGGGCCCUGAAAUCAUAGGAUUCAGAGGGAAGGCAAGCAACACAGUACAGAGGACCCAGGAUUUAGACUCUUAAUAUCUGCAUUCGAGACCUGGUACUACCUCCUGUUGUCUGUGAUAUUUCAGUCAGUCACUGAAUUUCACCAAAGUUUAGUUUAUUUACCUGUGAAAUAGGAAAAAGAACCCCCAAUGCUCAUAUGAGGAACAAAGACAGUAUUUGUGAAAACAACCUCUAAGAUGUGAGGCACAACACAAGUGUUGGUUAAUGGUGAGGUGGUCAUUCAUAAUCCAGCCUUGACGAUACUCCUGCAUCUACCUGCAUCUCUCUCCCUCCCUGCAGAGGCCAGCACAGAGGCCACUGACUGAGGAAGCAGGGUCUGUUUGUGGCUCUGCCACUAAUUUUAUGUGAGAUUUUGGGUAGUUCAUUAACCUUCAUGGGACUUGGUUUUGGUUUUCCUCUUUAUAAAAUGGAGUUCACCAAUAAAAUGGAUUUAUUCCAGGAAUGCAAGGUUGGUUCAACAUACAAAGACCAACCAAUGUGAUAUAUGCCACAUUAUUAAAGGAUAAAACCACAUGAUCAUCUCAAUAGGCACAGAAAAGGCACUUGACAAAAUCCAACACAUUUUCUUGAUGAAAAAACACAAAUUUAGAAAUAGAAGGAAACUUCUUCAACCUGACUAAUGACACCAACAGAAACCCCAAAGCUAUCAUCGUACUUAAUGGUGAAAGACUAAAAGCUUUCCCCUAAGAUCAGGAGAAAAACAAGAGUUAAAAAUGGGUCUUGGGAAUAUUUAAACUAGUUUUCUUAUAUUCCAAGGCAGGAAGCUGAGGGACAGAGAGGGGCAGUGGCUUGCCCAAGGGACAGUGUCUACCAAACAGAACCAUCCAGGCCACUUGCCCUAGAAAUCCACUCCAUGCCACCCCUCCAGCCAAGCCAGUGCACCCUGUGCUGGGAGGAGAAGUAGGAGAUAAAGGCCUGCCUAGGACCAUGUAUCAGGGUCGUGAACAGAAUACCAGUGACAGAAGCCCACCCAGCAGAUCUUCAUGUGCCGGCACAGAAGCCCACCCAACAGAUAUUCAUAUGCCAACACAGAAGCCCACCCAGUGGAACUUCACAUGCCAGCACAGAAGCCCACACAAGCUUCCUUAUGCUAGAAGGGGGACUUUUUUUUUUUAAUUUUUUAUUGCUUUUUAGGUUUUGGGGUACAUGUGCAGAACAUGC